GACAGAGGGGCCGAGCGAUGUCCGGAGUCACUGGGCGUAAAGCGCGCGCAGGCGGCAACCUAAGUGUCGUGUGAAAGCCCCCGGCUCAACCGGGGGAGGCCAUGGAAAACUGGGUCGCUCGAGCUGCGGAGAGGCCCCUCGAAUUGCCGGUGUAGCGGUGAAAUGCGUAGAGAUCGGCAGGAAGACCAACGGGGAAGCCAGGGGGCUGGCCGCAGGCUGACGCUGAGGCGCGACAGCGUGGGGAGCAAACCGG
rnacentral:rRNA from 1 species